GGCCCUGCGCAACGAGGAGCGCCGGGAGGAGGCUCUGCUAGGAGAAGAAGAAAGGUAAUUGGAGUGAUGCCGGGUGCACCGACGCAGCGGGAGCGUCAGCAUGUCAGGCAGUAUAAAAAAAGCUGGCGCCUAGGAAAAAAAAAGGCGGGGAAUCAAGGCGGACAGGCGCGCUGCGCAGGUGUGACAAAUUAAAGAUUAGCGCUGCCACGCGCUGGGAUGUACCGCGCGGGCUUUGUUACCGCCAGGGUUUCUCUCGCUCCCGUCUGCCGCUUCCUUUGCAGCAUGUGGCACCGUCCUGACACAUCCUCCGGCUUUGAUGAAGUGGCAAGACCGAUGCCCUUGCUAUGACACGGCGGCUCUCAAGUCCAGCUGGCUGUCUUUCUGCCGGCCCCGAGUGCCUCUCGCUGGACUCUGCCAGUCCUUCCGGCUACACCCACUCAUUAGCGGUUCACGACUUGCAGCCUCCUCUUUUCCUGAAAUCCUGCAAUUGCUCAGAAAGCUGGCUCAGACCCUGCUCGCACACGGUAGCGAAACAAAGGCGAGUCAGAACCGGCAGCCCGGCUGCUUCUCACCCUUCAGACAUCCCCGCGCAGGCAGCACGAUUGGAGGAACAGAGCUUUACAACAUGGCAUCUGAUUAUACACAAAGCUUUGGAGCAAAGCCCUGUUUUUUCCCUUCAUUAAGGAGACAAAGGAUUCCUGUGUGAGCCAAGCAGCACUUCGGACACUAAUACAGCUUUACACCCCAAAUCACAUCCUGGCUCUCUGCAAGGCAGAUGGGGGAGUGGAUCCGUGCCUUUCCUUGCUGCCAGCACCCUUUGCAGCCUCCAGCCAGCUCCUCUCCUCCUCGGCGUUAACAUCCGAUUAAGCGGCGCUAGCACGUUCACACUGCUGCCACCGGCUCUGCCCGGACCGUGACCUGGAGUAUUUCCUGGCUAAUCCUGCGUGCUCGGGUCCCCUCUGCUUGCCACCGAGGUAGGGACCGGGGAGCUUUGUGGGCCCACCCAGGACUUUGCCCUUGUUGUUCAUUUCCCAAGGAAGGGAGUUAGAAGGGAGCUGGGUAUAAAGGCCCAGGAAAGCUCCGUCCUAUGGAAACCCCACAGCCUGCAUGGUCCCUGCCAGUCUGCUCAAAGCCUAAAAUUAAGGAGCUUGAGAAUAUUUUGGGCUAGGUGACAAGCCCAAGGUCAUAAAGGCAGUCAGUGGCAGAGGUGUGUUUGCCCCGUAGGUGGCUCCUAGGUCCCUGUCAAGUCAGAGAUGUCGAGAGGAACCUAUCAUCAGCUGCAAACUGUCUGAAUCAAGCCACAGAUACAGAAAACCACGUCACCUCAUCCUGAGCAAGUUUACCUUAUUUAACAGCAUCACGCAGAAAGGAGUAGCGCACGCUGUGUUUACCAAAUGAAGAGGGGAGCUCUUUUUUAUCAAAAUAGUGUAUGACUGAGCUGCUUAUCUACAAACGAAAGUCUUUGUAAGCAAAUGUUUUUGAUCUUGUACGACAUUCACAGGACAGCGUUUUAAAAAUAAACUCAUUUCUAUCUAGUUCUAAGAAUACUUU
rnacentral:lncRNA from 1 species